CAUGGCUGUCGUCAGCUCGUGUCGUGAGAUGUUCGGUUAAGUCCGCUAACGAGCGCAACCCUCGUCGUAUGUUAUAUGUGUCAUACGAGACUGCCGGUAAAAAGACCGGAGGAAGGUGAGGAUGAUGUCAAGUCAGCAUGACCUUUAUAUCCAGGGCUACACACACGCUACAAUGGUCUGUACAAUGGGUAGCCAAGCCGCGAGGCGGAGCCAAUCCUGAAAGCAGGCCUCAGUUCAGAUUGCAGUCUGCAACUCGACUGCAUGAAGCCGGAGUUGCUAGUAACCGCAGGUCAGCAAUACUGCGGUGAAUACGUUCCCGGGUCUU
rnacentral:rRNA from 1 species